ACAAGAAACAGGAAUCUAAUCAGCAUAGCUUAGUUAUCAAUUAAUGACUUUAAGUAAUCUAUUCACAGAAAUCUUGGCAGUUUAGUUAUAUGAAACUUCUUCUAUGAAUUAUAGAAAUCUAUUUAGUUCUACGCCCAGUUUAGUUAUCAAUUAAUGCUUAGAGAACUUCGCUUCGAUUGACUUAAGUUUGGGAGAUAGGAGGAACUGAAGUCAUUGUCAGUUUUAUGCGGCAAAUAAGUUAAAGUAAGUGUCGUCCUUUUGGCUUAAUUUACCGAGCAAAUGUUGGGGCCAGCUGUGAAUACACUCGAACAACAUACACACACUACUAUUAAGAGAGUAUGUUGAAUGGUUGGGCAAGUAUUUGAGGGUCCGUCUGGAGUUUUGUUUAUGUUAGUGUAUAAUGUCUUCUCUUGGCCCUUUUUUGGUGUAACAAAUUGCGUCUGCAAAUGUGACUCACUUACUAGAGAAGGACAUGGCAGGACGAAACGAAAAGAGAAGAGUCGAAUCGAGAGACGAGACGAGACGAAGCGAGGACAUUCUCCAGUUUAUGGCGCACUUGCCGCUGUCUCUCGUUUACCGCAUCGCAGCCUGGCGCUCAGCUGUCUCCUUCCUUGCCACAUGCCACAUGCAGCAGAAUGUCUGCUGGAGCACAAAACAACAAAAAGAAAAAAGCGUACAACGAAUGCCAAUAAUUGAUUUUCCAUGAAGUAAUCCUAACGUCUGUUUAGUUAUGUUUAAAUUUAUGCGAGCCCAACGCAAACUAUUUCAUUUAAUAAAAGUCGCCAAGGAAGUGAAACCUAAAAGCCGACUAAAGACUGCAGAAAGUAUUCAAAUUGCUUAACAGAAAUGGAACUAUUUCUAAAAAAUCAAAAAACA